UACGUAGGGGGCAAGCGUUGUCCGGAUUUAUUGGGCGUAAAGCGCGUGUAGGCGGCCAGAUAGGUCUGCUGUGAAAACUCGAGGCUCAACCUCGAGCUGUCGGCGGAAACCAUCUGGCUAGAGUCCGGAAGAGGAGAAUGGAAUUCCCGGUGUAGCGGUGAAAUGUGUUGAUAUCGGAAGGAACGCCGGUGGCGAAAGCGGCACACUGGAUCUCAACUGACGCUGAGGCACGAAAGCCAGGGAGCGAACGGGG
rnacentral:rRNA from 1 species